ensembl:snRNA U6 U6 spliceosomal RNA
GUGCUCGCUUCAGGAGCACAUAUACUAAAGUUGGAACCAUACAGAGAAGAUUAGUAUGGCCCCUGCUCAAGGAUGAUAUGCAAAUUUAUGAAGCACUCCAUAUUUUU